rnacentral:ncRNA from 20 species
UUUCCUUAUCAAGAGUUAGGGUAGAGAAUUAGCUCUAUGACCCUACGCCAACCUGCCAUUAGGUAAGGUGGUUCUGCUAAUGCCGAUAAGAUGAUUUAAUAGAAAAUCAACCUUCU